AUGCUAGGGUUGAUAUGGGUAUGUUUUUGCAUUGUUCCUGUUCUAUGUCUAGCCAUGGGUGGGAUUGUUCGGUGGGGUGUAUUCAUUUUGUUAUGAUUUGUAACUGGUUUGCAAGGAAGUAGUUAUAAAAGUUUGGUGCAUCUAGUCCUCUGGUAUUUUUUGGUGUUUGAAGUGUUUAAGGAACUGAACCAUGUGGGGGGGGGGGGGGUGGACAUGCUGGGAUCAUAGAGAAAAGGUAAUUUAUUUUGGGAAGUAUGGUCAUUUUUGUGAUUGCUAUUCUUCCUAUGAGUGAUACCGGUAGAUUCAUCCAUCUGGUCGUGUCGUCUUCUAUAUUUCUGAUAAGUGGCUUGAUGACGUUAGACCGUUGACUGUGACUGUUGCUCUUGGUGAGUUGUAUAGUGUUUUGACCCAGGUGAUAAAUGACUUUCCCAAUCCAAAUUUAUGAAGUGUGGCAAGUAAAAAUGUCCAGUUUACGCGGUCAAAUGCUUUUUCAGCAUCUGAAGAAGCUAUUAUUGUUUCUUCUGUGGUCUGUGUUGCUUGGUGAAUUAUGUUGAAUAGUCUGCGUGUGUUAUUGUUUGCGUGUCUACCUUUAAUAAAACCUGUUUGAUCAAUGUGGAUUAUGGAUGGAGUGACCAUUUCGAUUCUUGUGGAUAGUGCUUCGCUAAUUAUUUUUAUGUCUGUAUUGAUGAGGGAUAUUGGGGCGGUAACUGGAGGUGAGGGUAGGAUCUUUAUCUGGUUUCAAUAUUACUGAGAUGUUGGCGGUGUUCAUAUGUGAAGGGAUUUUUCCGGAAUUUAUUAGAUCUUCUGUCAUUCUGAUGAAUAGUGGUGAAAUGGUUGACCAGAAAUGUCUAUAAAACUCAGCGGGGAAGCCAUCAGGUCCUGGUGCUUUGUUAGGGGGAAUUAACUUUAGUGCUGAAUAGAAUUCUUCUUU